GCCUCGGUGGAGUAGUGGUAGAGCGCGCGUCCGCGGUAUGGAUGGAGAACGGGUUCGAUUCCCGCCUGAGGCC